UCCUAUUGUCAUUAAGUACACAUGUGGGGAUCUAAUAAUAGGUCUCUGAUCAGUCAUAGUAUGCAUGUGUUCCUUGCCUUAAUAGUUGCACAAACUCAAUAUGAAAAUACAUGUGCAUUUGCUCAGAAAAGAAAGUAACAGAAUAAAUCAAAUGCAAAAACAAGUUUUUUUUUUUGAUCAAAAUAUUUCCCUCCCCCCAACUUAAACAUUGCAUUGUCCUCAAUGUAAAAAAAAUGCAAGAAAACUAUAUAUGAGAGACAAUAGAGAAAAUAAUAGAGAGAAGAAGAAUACCUUGAGCUGUUGAUUUUUAGAAAAGAAGACCUACAAAAUAAGAAGAAAACUAGAAAUAAAAGAAA
rnacentral:lncRNA from 1 species